rnacentral:rRNA from 1 species
UACCAGCACCCCGAGUGGUCGGGACGUUUAUUGGGCGUAAAGAGCUCGUAGGUGGUUCGGUAAGUCAGGUGUGAAACCUCCAGGCUCAACCUGGAGACGCCACUUGAUACUGCUGUGACUGGAGUCCGGUAGGGGAGCGUGGAAUUCCUGGUGUAGCGGUGAAAUGCGCAGAUAUCAGGAGGAACACCAGCGGCGAAGGCGGCGCUCUGGGCCGGUACUGACACUGAGGAGCGAAAGCGUGGGUAGCAAACAGG